rnacentral:rRNA from 1 species
GACGGAGGAGGCAAGCAUUGUCCGGAAUUAUUGGGCGUAAAGAACACGUAGGCGGUUUAUCAAGUCAUAUGUGAAAACCUUAGGCUUAACUUAAGGAUUGCAAAUGAUACUGGUAAGCUAGAGUACAGUAGAGGAAAGUGGAAUUCCUGGUGUAGCGGUGAAAUGCGCAGAUAUCAGGAAGAACACCAGUGGCGAAAGCGGCUUUCUGGACUGUUACUGACGCUGAGGUGUGAAAGCUAGGGGAGCGAACAGGAUUAGAUACCCU